CGGAGGAUCCAAGCGUUAUCCGGAAUCAUUGGGUUUAAAGGGUCCGUAGGCGGGUUUAUAAGUCAGUGGUGAAAGCCCAUCGCUCAACGAUGGAACGGCCAUUGAUACUGUAGAUCUUGAAUUAUUAGGAAGUAACUAGAAUAUGUAGUGUAGCGGUGAAAUGCUUAGAGAUUACAUGGAAUACCAAUUGCGAAGGCAGGUUACUGCUAAUGGAUUGACGCUGAUGGACGAAAGCGUGGGUAGCGAGCAGGAUUAGAUACCCUGGUAGUCCACGCCGUAAACGAUGGAUACUAGCUGUUCGGAGCAAUCUGAGUGGCUAAGCGAAAGUGAUAAGUAUCCCACCUGGGGAGUACGUUCGCAAGAAUG
rnacentral:rRNA from 1 species